GACGAACGCUGGCGGCGCGCUUAACACAUGCAAGUCGAGCGAAGCGGCGGACGGGUGAGUAACACGUGAGUAACCUGACUUAGACAUUGGGAUAGCCUCGGGAAACCGGGAUAAAUACCAAAGGUGCUAAGAUGGAAUAGCGUCCCAUUAGCUAGUUGGUGGGUAACGGCCCACCAAGGCGACGAUGGUGAGCCGGCCUGAGAGGGGUAACGUCCACAUUGGCACGGAGAAACGGUCCAAACUCUACGGGAGGCAGCAGUGCGGAAUAUUGCACAAUGGAGGGAACUCUGAUGCAGCGACGCCGCGUGAACGCAGAAGGCUGUCGAGUCGUAAAGUUCUUUUAUCUGGGCACCGGUACCAUAAGAGAAAGCCCCGGCUAACUACGUGCCAGCAGCCGCGGUAAUAC
rnacentral:rRNA from 1 species